AUGAGGGAGAUCAUAAGCAUCCACAUCGGGCAGGCGGGCAUCCAGGUGGGGAAUUCCUGCUGGGAGCUCUACUGCCUCGAGCAUGGCAUCCAGCCCGACGGCCUCAUGCCCAGUGAUACCUCGGUUGGGGUUGCAAAGGAUGCAUUCAACACAUUCUUCAGCGAAACGGGUUCAGGGAAGCAUGUUCCGAGGGCCCUGUUCGUCGAUCUGGAGCCCACGGUCAUCGACGAGGUGAGGACGGGGGCAUACCGCCAGCUCUUCCAUCCUGAGCAGCUCAUCUCCCACAAUGAAGAUGCUGCUAACAACUUUGCCCGCGGACACUACACAGUUGGAAGAGAAGUGGUGGACCUUUGCCUUGACCGGAUCAGAAAAUUGGCGGACAACUGCACUGGCCUCCAAGGUUUCUUGGUUUUCAAUGCUGUCGGUGGCGGAACUGGCUCAGGACUUGGUUCAUUGCUUCUGGAGCGCCUAUCGGUCGACUAUGGCAGGAAAUCCAAGCUCGGUUUCACCAUCUAUCCUUCACCACAGAUUUCGACGGCCGUUGUGGAGCCAUACAACAGCGUGCUCUCGACCCACUCGCUGAUCGAGCACACCGACGUGGUGGUGCUCCUGGACAACGAGGCCAUCUACGACAUCUGCAAGAGGUCCCUGGACAUCGAGCGCCCGACCUACACCAACCUGAACCGGCUGAUAUCCCAGGUGAUAUCGUCCCUGACCACGUCGCUGCGGUUCGACGGCGCCAUCAACGUGGACAUAACCGAGUUCCAGACCAACCUGGUGCCGUACCCGAGGAUCCACUUCAUGCUCUCCUCCUACGCGCCCAUCAUCUCCGCGGAGAAGGCCUUCCACGAGCAGCACUCCGUCCCCGAGAUCACCAACUCCGUGUUCGAGCCGUCCAGCGUCAUGGCCAAGUGCGACCCCCGCCACGGCAAGUACAUGGCCUGCUGCCUCAUGUACCGCGGCGACGUCGUCCCCAAGGACGUCAACUCCGCCGUCCACUCCAUCAAGACCAAGAGGACCGUGCAGUUCGUCGACUGGUGUCCGACUGGGUUCAAGUGCGGGAUAAACUACCAGCCGCCGACGGUGGUUCCGGGAGGGGACCUGGCCAAGGUGCGGCGAGCGGUGUGCAUGAUCAGCAACAACACGGCCGUGGCCGAGGUCUUCUCGCGCAUCGACCGCAAGUUCGACCUCAUGUACGCCAAGCGCGCGUUCGUGCACUGGUACGUCGGGGAAGGGAUGGAGGAGGGGGAGUUCUCGGAGGCCAGGGAGGAUCUGGCCGCGCUGGAGAAAGACUACGAGGAGGUCGGAGCCGAGGGUGAAGACGACGACGACGAAGGCGAUGAGUACUGA
rnacentral:rRNA from 1 species